rnacentral:rRNA from 1 species
UACGAAGGGGGCUAGCGUUGUUCGGAAUUACUGGGCGUAAAGCGCACGUAGGCGGACUAUUAAGUCAGGGGUGAAAUCCCGGGGCUCAACCCCGGAACUGCCUUUGAUACUGGUAGUCUCGAGUCCGGAAGAGGUGAGUGGAAUUCCGAGUGUAGAGGUGAAAUUCGUAGAUAUUAGGAAGAACACCUAUGGCGAAGGCAGCUCUCUGGGACGGUACUGACGCUGAGACGCGAAAGCGUGGGGAGCGAACAGG